rnacentral:rRNA from 1 species
UUGUUCCUACACCUUUAAUAUUUAUCCGGUGGGACAAAUAUCAAAAGAGGGUCUUAGUGGUAAUCGGAAAAGAGAAUGAAAGUAUAAAAACGGGAGGACGACAAGGCUAAAACGGAGGUCUCGGGGCUGAGUGCCGGUGGCAGCACUUGUCGUGGCCGCGAGGCGGCCGCAGCCGCAAAGGACCCCCGCUGCUGCCGCGCUGGGCUGCGGCAGCCGUGGAUGGGGCGCGAAGAGGCGGCGGCGAGUUGGUUAACGAGAGAUCUAAUCCCAAAGAAGGACUGAUUUAGACCGUUAAUGUGGCGGCGAGAUGUAAAAGGUUAGGUAAGGAGCAUGGCGGCUGGUUCGGACUAGCGCUGGGCGUCGAGGAGACGGAGGAUGCGGCGUCACCAUAAGGCACCCGACCGAGACGUAGCAGAGGGGCUCCUAGAGGUAAAGAGCACGAGUUGGACUAGUGAGGGAUGCAUCUAGGCGGGCCGGAUUUCUAAAGCAAAGAAGCAACACAACAUGACGAGUGUCAACAUAAACGUUCGAUCGGUACCUUCUGUUGUUACUACUCGUAUUACAUAGAGAAGGAGUCCUAUAAGUCGUGUGGUAAGAACGAAGUGAUGGACGAUCCCAACAAGAGUUCAAAGCGUGUCACACAUCUAAGACCGCUCUGACGUAAGUUCUUGGGUUAAAACAACUAGCAGUGGAGUUGUUACGAGAGGCGAGGGUGGUCAGGUAACGAACGAAGUGGAGCCAACUACUCCCAGAACAGACGUACAUGUGUAACCUAGAGUGGUGUGACUUGACGUUUUCGUACCUAGAGCACAACAGCUCAUCCAAAGUCUACAGUCUGGGGACGGUACCGAACCACACGCGGAUACUAAAUUUUCCGCGACAACUCCACAACUUAGGUUGUUGUUCCUAUGUAAACUCUGACGGUCAAAGUCUUGAGGUUAGUGAUCGAAGUCUUAUAAAAGAACCUGGACGCGGAAGUUGUUUUCUCAUGUUCCACGAGACACAGGUGGUGGCCCACGCCAAGAACUGUAAACUUCAUACGUGACAACCGUGUGUCAGUACCUCCCGUCACGCGCUUAGGCGUCGGGAGGACUUCUGUUGUUUCCGCCAGUAACAAUUACUACAGUACGUAACCGAUGAAGAACUACUCUAUAGGAGGGUAAAAUGAGCCUUGUAGAACAGCAAGUUGGACUGUCUACUCUACAAGAGUCUUUGACGACAGGGACUACGACAUUUUCUGGCACUUAACGUGGACAAACUCCCCCCUCCUUUCGAAGUAAACGACCGUUACGGGCCACUCCCUAGUCGUGGAUUUUGGAGACUCUAAACCCACCGCUUGAGCUGGACACGUCAGACCCUGGUGUACACGUUGCAGCGAAAACACGAUGGAAACCCGUACUCCGGUGAAAAGGACGUGUUGUUAUUCGAGAAGAUAACGUUGGUUUCUUCUAAGAUGAUACAACUAGAAGUCCUACCCUCACCAAGGAUAGAGUUGUACGGAAAACCGCUCACGUAGUAUAGUCGACCCUAAAAGCACCUCUCGGAGCGAGAUGUAAGACACUGACCGGACCACCUGAGGUCUUGUUACGAAGUUUCUUGAGUACUACGAUCUAGUAAAGGUUGUCCCGCACCUGGUAGACGAGCACCGCGACCUAGCAGGAGUCGUCCGGGAGCCGCUAGAAAGUUCUUCCGUUUCUCGUUAUAUUUGUACGUCACCUCCAACCGUAUCUAGAGCGUUUGCGGACUGUAGCAUAGGUACUUAUCAAGAAACAAUACAUGUUAGUUUAUUUCAAAUGACCACAAACAAACACAUCUCUACUUCUUCUUUAUCUGGUACCCCCACCCAGUCCCUGUCCCAUCUUGUAUUCUUCUUUUAUUCUUUCACAGAGACAAUCAUCGAACAAGUAAAAAAUAGCAUACCCCUAAAUACACGACAUGACCUUUUAUUUUUUUUUACUUUUGAGACUUGGACUAUAUGACAUAUGAACAAGACCAAACGACAUUACUUGACAUAAGGACGCAACGUAAAGACUUUCAAUACUACGGUUCUGGUUAUUAAGUUUGACCACAGAGACCACCAACGGUUACUGGACAAUAUAUGACAUGUGAACAAAGCCAAACGACAUGCUUGACAUGUGGACGUGACAUUGACAUAAUGACUUUUACGAAUAUGUUUCUGGUUGUGUUUGAC